AAGCAUAGUUGGGAAACUUCUCUAAAUGUUUAUGACAGCUUGUCGAACAUCCUCGCGAGCCAUCAUCAGAACUUCAUGCUGGGUUUUGUUUUGUUUAUGUUCCAUUUGGAUUACCAAACGCAAGGACUCAUCUGGUUCUUUUGAACUGUAAAAGCUCCUACCGAGAUCCGCUCGCACCACAAACGAGGCCCCUCGGACCUUAUCACUUUGAACAAAAGAGCUCCGCCUCUUGUGUGUACUCGAGAGCGGCGGAGGGCGGCGCGCAUCCCCAAAUAUCAGCGACGGCAGGUUGAAAGGCGCAAAAUAAGCUCGGCUGGGUGAAGAUGCACCAACUGACGGAAACACUAUCUGUCCGAAACGCUAUCAUGUCAAACUCAAAAGGUGCUCACUAUUUCCCCUCCAUUUUGGGCUCUGCUUCCGCAAGUUGAAGAUGCUCACCGAGUAGCGACACCCGCGAACCAGGGAUGUACUUGUUUUGACAUGUGUGCA